rnacentral:rRNA from 1 species
GUUAAGAAUCUUGCGCAAUGGGCGAAAGCCUGACGCAGCGACGCCGCGUGGACGAUGAAGGCCUUCGGGUUGUAAAGUCCGAUAAGCAGGGAAGAAUAAGCGCCGGGAAAUAUUCGGCGUGAUGACGGUACCUGUCUAAAGCCCCGGCUAACUACGUGCCAGCAGCCGCGGUAAUACGUAUGGGGCGAGCGUUGUUCGGAAUUAUUGGGCGUAAAGGGCGUUUAGGCGGGGAAUUAAGAUAGGUGUGAAAUCCAUGGGCUCAACACGUGAAUUGCAUUUAAAACUGAUUCUCUUGAGUUCGGGAGAGGAGAGCGGAAUUCCAGGUGUAGCGGUGAAAUGCGUAGAUAUCUGGAAGAACACCAGUGGCGAAGGCGGCUCUCUGGCCUAGAACUGACGCUGAAGCGCGAAAGCGUGGGGAGCGAACAGGAUUAGAAACCCCGGUAGUCC